rnacentral:tRNA from 1 species
GGGAUUGUAGCUCAAUGGUUAGAGCGCUUGCCUUGCAUGUGUGAGGCACUGAGUUCAAUUGUCAGCACCA